GGAAAGAGAGACUGUGUGGAGAGAGAGAGAGGUGGAAAGAGAGACUGUGUGGAGAGAGAGAGAGGUGGAAAGAGAGACUGUGUGGAGAGAGAGAGAGGUGGAAAGAGAGACUGUGUGGAGAGAGAGAGGUGGAAAGAGAGACUGUGUGGA